CCUACGGGUGGCAGCAGUGGGGAAUAUUGGGCAAUGGGCGCAAGCCUGACCCAGCAACGCCGCGUGAAGGCAGAAGGCUUUCGGGUUGUAAACUUCUUUUCUCAGGGACGAAGCAAGUGACGGUACCUGAGGAAUAAGCCACGGCUAACUACGUGCCAGCAGCAGCGGUAAUACGUAGGUGGCAAGCGUUAUCCGGAUUUACUGGGUGUAAAGGGCGUGUAGGCGGGAAAGCAAGUCAGAUGUGAAAACCACGGGAUAAACCUUGGGCCUGCAUUGGAAACUGUGUUUCUUGAGUACUGGAGAGGCAGACGGAAUUCCGAGUGUAGCGGUGAAAUGCGUAGAUAUUAGGAGGAACACCAGUGGCGAAGGCGGUCUGCUGGACAGAAACUGACGCUGAGGCGCGAAAGCGUGGGGAGCAAACAGGAUUAGAUACCCCAGUAGU
rnacentral:rRNA from 1 species